rnacentral:rRNA from 1 species
UUAAGGGCUAAUGGUGGAUACCUAGGUAUCAACAGGCGAUGAAGGACGUGUUUACCUGCGAUAAGCUUCGGGGAGCUGGCAAUAGCUUUGAUCCGGAGAUUUCCGAAUGGGGAAACCCAGUAUAUGGAGACAUAUAUUAUUCUUAUCUAAAUACAUAGGAUAGGAAGGCGAUACCCGCCGAACUGAGACAUCUCAGUAAGCGGAGGAAAAGAAAUCAAAGAGAUUCCCUGAGUAGCGGCGAGCGAAAUGGGAAUAGCCCAAACCAAAGUCUCUGACUUUGGGGUUGUAGGACCAAUCAUAAAGAUAAGUGAAGUCUAGUCGAACACAACUGGAAAGUUGGACAAUAUAGGGUGAUAGUCCCGUAGGCGAAAGAUGAAUCUUACAAGAUUGGCACCUGAGUAGGGCCGGACACGUGAAACCCGGUCUGAAUCUGGGGAGACCACUCUCCAAGGCUAAAUACUAGUUGAUGACCGAUAGUGAACCAGUACCGUGAGGGAAAGGUGAAAAGAACCCCGUUUAGGGGAGUGAAAUAGAACAUGAAACCAUUAGCUUACAAGCGGUCAAAGACCUAUGGUCCUUUUAGGACAAAGGUUGAUGGCGUGCCUUUUGCAUGAUGAGCCAGCGAGUUACGCUAUACGGCAAGGUUAAGGAAUUUUCAUUCUGGAGCCGAAGCGAAAGCGAGUGUGAAUAGCGCGAUUAGUCGUAUGGCGUAGACACGAAACCGAGUGAUCUAUCCAUGACCAGGUUGAAGCAAAGGUAACACUUUGUGGAGGACCGAACCAGUACAUGUUGAAAUAUGUUUGGAUGAGUUGUGGAUAGGGGUGAAAGGCCAAUCAAACUCGGAAAUAUCUUGUUCUCUCCGAAAUAACUUUAGGGUUAGCCUCGGUGUACGUUUCUUUGGGGGUAGAGCACUGGAUUUAUGCGGGGGUCUACCGACCUACCAAUUAAAACCAAACUCCGAAUACCAAAGAAAUAUCCGGGAGAUAGACAGUGGGGGAUAAGCUCCAUUGUCAAGAGGGGAACAGCCCAGACCAUCGAUUAAGGCCCCAAAUUCUAUGCUAAGUGAGUAAGGAAGUGAAGUCUCAGAAACAGUUGGGAUGUUGGCUUAGAGGCAGCAACCAUUUAAAGAGUGCGUAACAGCUCACCAACCGAGAGAUUUUGCGCCGAAAAUAUUCGGGGCUAAGCAUAGAGCCGAAAUCAUGGGUGCAUGUGUUUACACAUGCGCGGUAGGAGAGCGUAGUAUGUGCACUGAAGGUAUAUCGUAAGAAGUACUGGAGCGCAUACUAGUGAUGAUGCAUGGCAUAAGUACACGAUAAAGGAGGUGAAAAUCCUCCUCGCCGAAAACCUAAGGUUUCCAGGGUAAAGCUCGUCUUCCCUGGGUUAGUCGGCCCCUAAGCUGAGGCAGAAAUGCGUAGGCGAUGGGAAUCAGGUUAAAUAUUCCUGAACCACCUAAAAUUUAUACGAUGGGAUGACGAAGUAUGUUAAGCAUGCGGACUAUUGGAUGUCCGUUUGACUAUGAGGGGUGCUGGCAGGCAAAUCCACCAGCGUGGCCCUAGGUAGUCACCAAGGGGAAUCUUCGGAGGAACCGAUGAUGUGGCGCUACGCUUCCAAGAAAUAAUCUCUAGUUUUUGAUGGUGACCGUACUCAAACCGACACAGGUGGGUGUGAUGAAUAAUCUCAGGCGCGCGAGACAACUCUCGUUAAGGAACUCGGCAAACUAUUCCCGUAACUUCGGAAGAAGGGAAGCCACUUUUUGUGAUUCACUUCGCGUGAUGAGCAAAAGGUGGCCGCAGAGAAAUGGCCCAGGCGACUGUUUACCAAAAACACAGCACUUUGCUAAGCCGUGUAAGGCAAUGUAUAAGGUGUGAUGCCUGCCCAAUGCCAAAAGGUCAAAGGGAGGGGUUAGGGUUUAUCCCGAAGCUCUGAACUAAAGCCCUGGUGAAUGGCGGCCGUAACUAUAACGGUCCUAAGGUAGCGAAAUUCCUUGUCGGGUAAGUUCCGACCUGCACGAAUGGCGUAACGAUCUGGGCGCUGUCUCAACGAGAGACUCGGUGAAAUUGUAGUAGCGGUGAAGAUGCCGUUUACGCGCGACAAGACGGAAAGACCCCGUGAACCUUUACUAUAGUCUGAUAUUGGCUUUUGAUUUGUCAUGUGUAGGAUAGCCGGAAGACUUUGAUGCUCAUUCGUUAGGAUGAGUUGAGUCAACCUUGAAAUACCGGCCUUGACACAUUGAGAAUCUAACGAAGUCCCAUGAAUCUGGGAUUCGGACAUUGUCAGAUGGGUAGUUUUACUGGGGCGGUAUCCUCCUAAAAAGUAACGGAGGAGUCCAAUGCUUACUUCAUCAUGGUUGGUAAUCAUGAGUAGAGCGUAAAGGUAUAAGGUAAGUUAACUGCGAGACCUACAAGUCGAGCAGGUACGAAAGUAGGGCUUAGUGAUCCGGCGGUAGAAAGUGGAAUUGCCGUCGCUCAACGGAUAAAAGGUACUCCGGGGAUAACAGGCUUAUCGCAUCCAAGAGUUCAUAUCGACGAUGCGGUUUGGCACCUCGAUGUCGGCUCAUCGCAUCCUGGGGCUGCAGAAGGUCCCAAGGGUUUGGCUGUUCGCCAAUUAAAGCGGUACGCGAGCUGGGUUCAGAACGUCGUGAGACAGUUUGGUCCCUAUCUGUCGCGCGCGUAGGAUAUUUGAGAGGAGCUGCUUCUAGUACGAGAGGACCGAAGUGGACAAACCAAUGGUGUUCCGGUUGUUCUGCCAAGGGCAUAGCCGGGUAGCUAAGUUUGGAACGGAUAAGCGUUGAAAGCAUCUAAACGCCAAGCCUCCCUCAAGAUAAGAUAUCCCUAUGAGACCACAUGAAGAUUACAUGUUUGAUAGGCUGGAGGUGUAAGCACAGCAAUGUGUUCAGCUGACCAGUACUAAUCGGUCCAUUGACUUGACU